GACAGAGGGUGCAAACGUUGUUCGGAAUUACUGGGCGUAAAGCGUGCGCAGACGGUUGCGUAAGUCAGAUGUGAAAGCCCCGGGCUCAACCUGGGAAUUGCAUUUGAGACUGCGUAGCUAGGGUGCGGAAGAGGGAAGCGGAAUUUCCGGUGUAGCGGUGAAAUGCGUAGAUAUCGGAAGGAACACCAGUGGCGAAAGCGGCUUCCUGGUCCAGCACCGACGUUCAGGCACGAAAGCGUGAGGAGCAAACAGG
rnacentral:rRNA from 1 species